UACGUAGGGUGCAAGCGUUGUCCGGAAUUUAUUUGGGCGUAAAGAGCUCGUAGGUGGUUUUUGUCGCGUUGUUUCGUGAAAACUCACAGCUUAACUGUGGGCGUGCGGGCGAUACGGGCAGACUUGAGUACUGCAGGGGGAGACUGGAAUUCCUGGUGUAGCGGUGGAAUGCGCAGAUAUCAGGAGGAACACCGGUGGCGAAGGCGGGUCUCUGGGCAGUAACUACGUGGAGGAGCGAAAGCGUGGGGGAGCAA
rnacentral:rRNA from 1 species